CCCUAGUAUGAAAAAUAAUGAGGAUUAGUAUAAAGAAAUUUAAAUAUUAUGGCGGUUAAUUAUUUUUAGAGGAGCUUGUUGAAAUUAGUAAUUACUCUUUAUAUUUUAGUUAAAAAGGAGUUUGUUCAUCUUCGUUAUAGGAGCGGAUCAAUAAAAUAAAUUAAUUAUUAUUUCAGAUCAAGAUGCAGCUUUUAUAAUUAAAAUUUAGCUACAUUUAUGAAAUAAAUGGAAUCUUGGGUAGAUGUUUAGGGUGAAAUUGAAUUUAAUUGUAAUUAGGAUUAGAGAGUUUUAAUGAAAGAUUUUUAGUUAAUGCA
rnacentral:rRNA from 1 species